CCAACUGUUCCUUCCAGAGAAACAAGAAUGUCCUAAUCAUCGUUCUGUUCGUUGACUGUUGGGAGCCAGAAAUGGAGACUGGGACCGUUAAUGCCCCUGGUGAAAAUGCCCAGUCCCAUCGCUCAUGCCCAGGGAAGAAAAGGACUUUAGGAGCACAGCACAAAACAACAGACAUCACUGUUGCUGAACUCCCCCAGUGAACACACGCAGUUUUUAAAUUGUGGAGCUCUUGAACCAGAAGCAUUCCCAGAGGUCCUCUUGUCCAGGUGCCGACCCUAACCAGUCAUUGCUGUGCAGUGACAUCCCCAGGCUGAGCACAGGAAGCCUGCAGACAGAGCUUGGACAACCCUAAUUACAGGAUAUUGGCAAGCGACUUCAACCUCCAAAGCCCUAGUAACAGCUGGAGGGAGCUCAGGCCCACUCAGAGCAGCUGUGUGAGGGGCCUGAGGAGGAAGGAAGAGGCGGACCCCCCUCUAGCUCAGUGGUCCUGUUAAAGAGAAAAGGCACUGGACACAAAUUAAACACGGCAAGGAAGACCUCACUCAAGACUGUCGCAAUAGGGGAGGAGACUGAACCCAAAUCUGAAGAUGACAGGGGCAGCUGGAGCUUUAUAGCCAGCAGACAGAGUGAAAGAGAGGACGGAACGCGACUAAGAGGAACGUGGUGAGGAGAGUUCCAUUGCUGCCCACUUGUUGUCUGGCUUUCUGCAGUGCAAUUCGGAAGAAGGGAAGGACAGAGAGAGAGACAGCUCUAUAGAGGUGGAAGGCAGGAAGACGGUUCUUGCCUGUUGGGUCAGCCCCAGGACUGUCUUUGGGCAUGGAGAACCUGCAUCAUGGGCAAGCAGAGGAGAAACUAAACCUGAUGUGAGAGAGAGAAAAUCUACCUGCCUGUCCUCAUCUCCCUCAAGAUUCACCUGUAGGAAGUUUGUUUUGGGAUGACUGGAAGAAAGACAGUCGUGGCUGGUUACCACGUGUCUCAGCCUGCUGAAGAAACCAGACGGCAGGUUCCACACCAGGGACCAGGGACUCCAAGACACCAGUUCUGUCUACCCUAGCAGCUCUGAACGAUACACUCCUGGGGACAGCAGAGCCCUUGCAGAAUCUACAAAUCCAAAGGCACUCCAAGCAUUGCCGGCGGGCUGAAAAAAUAUAUUACCACAUACACCAGCUAUUUUUGAAAUGGAUGUACUGCUACUGGAAUCCCAGUACUUUCUAUUUUGUAUCUUCUUCAUAAAUAUAUACUUUCACACAAUUUCAAUCGUGGAAAGAGAAGACCCUAAUUUUUUUUUCCAACGUAAAGAGGGUUCUUUUAAAGAAAACAUGUUAGCAAUCUCCAAUAUAAAGUCCCUUAGGGCGGGAGUUCUUCCGUCUCUCGGUUCUAGAACUCUCCAGCCCUCACCUGGCAAAUAGCGAUUGAGUUUUGUUCUGUGCGUUGUUUAAUAUCAAGCGUCUCUCAAGAGACUCACAGCCCCUUGAGGCCAAGUGAGACAGUGAGACAGUGAUGGCCUGAGGGAAGGAAACAGCCCUCACUGCAUCUCUGGGCCCUUCCUCCGGGCUGGCUUACUUCUAGGUCCAGCUCUGCCAUUAACUAACCUCAGUAUCACCUUGGCCAACUCAUCCUCCACUCAAGGUCUCAGUCUCCCCAGCUGAACAGUGAGGGGGGCUCAUUAGAUGGGCUCAGAAGUCCUUCCAGUGUUGAGCUUCUAGUCAGCUAAGCAUGGGCGAGCAUGUGGAGGACAGGGCACUUUUCCAGCCUUGAGCUUGCAAGGAAAACACCCUCAGAGCAAAGUGUGGUCAAAUGCAGAACAGAGCCCCAGCCCUGACAUGGGACGUGUGUACUGAGGGGUGAGAAUGAGGGAGCAGAGAGUAUGGGGUGGUAUUAAGCAAAGAGGGCUUCCUGGGGGAAAUGCCCUGGGCCUUAGAGCAAUUGUUUGCUGAGGAGCAUGACAGAGAACACGCUGUGCCAGACAGGCUUAGACUACACAUGACGUACGUGAGGUUUUUAAGUUUUCACCCCAAAAGCCACAUUAUAAAGAAUUCCUCUUUCUUUUGCCAUUAUGCAAAUCAUCUUGGUAUCGAUUGAUUGCAUUUGCAUGUGAAGAGGGAUGCUGGGUUUGUAACUAAUGUAUUUGCAUGUUCAUUUUAAUUA